AGGUCUGGGUGCUGUGAGGGGCCCGAUGAGCCUGGGCAGGAACCCAGCUUCUGCACUUCCGGCAAAGCUACGCUCUCCUUGGAAAAGCUACGCUGUCCUUGCUCUGAGCCCAGCUGCUCGUCUGUGAAGUAGGAUGAAGCGCUGCCUUGAGGGCCGGAUGGGAGAACUCGGCGCGGCCUCUGGGAGCACUCGGGGAGCACGUGUCUUCCCGCCC
rnacentral:lncRNA from 1 species